CAGAUCUCCCCAGAGAAGUGUCUUUCCUUGCUAUUAGGUGAUUCAACAUUGGGAGAAGAGGGAGGACUGAAAGGAGGAGAGGCUCUUUGUCUAUGGGGCAGGAGUUUAAGGUGAAAGAAUGCAGAGAGAUAAAUGUGCCUGGAGUCUUAAGAAAACUGAUGAUUGAUCUACUAAAUGGAUGAAAGAAUUUAUUCACAUAAAAAUCCUGCCUUUGAAACUAAGGCACAUGGACACACCCUUUAAGCCAGGAUUUCAAUGAAAAAACCUAGCCAAUCCAGUUUUAACAUUGUCAUUGGUGGUGUUAACAUGGAGACAGUCGCCUUC